AGUAUUGGAGGCGACAUAGAUUUGUUCUCAUCUCUUGCUAGCAAAAUAAGCUAGCAUUUGGGGAUGGUGAGAGGGGUUUAUGUAUUCUAAAUGUUAAUAUCUUGGGUUCUGGAGAGUGAGAAAGAUAAGAGAGAUGAGCAAAAGAGAUUAAAUAGAAAUGAAAACUCUAGGGAUAAAAAGAAAGUGUGAAACUCUUGAUUAUGUAACAAAGAACCUUCCCCUAAUAAAAAAAAAAU
rnacentral:lncRNA from 1 species